ACACUUAAUUGGCAGGGGACGUACCAUGAUCCUGAAGGUGGUUUUCCUGAGAGCAAGGGUGAGGCUUAUCCCUCACCCUUGCCGACCAUGUGAUUUCCCCAAAUGUGGGAAACUUCAUUGCAUAAUUUGUGCUAAUGGGGGACUGAAUUCACGCUCUCCCCAG